rnacentral:rRNA from 1 species
GCCUGUAUGCAGCCAUGUCCGCGUGUGUGAAGAAGGCCUUCGGGUUGUAAAGCACUUUCAGUCGUGAGGAAGGUGGUGGUGUUAAUAGCACUAUUAUUUGACGUUAGCGACAGAAGAAGCACCGGCUAACUCCGUGCCAGCAGCCGCGGUAAUACGGAGGGUGCGAGCGUUAAUCGGAAUUACUGGGCGUAAAGCGCAUGCAGGUGGUUUGUUAAGUCAGAUGUGAAAGCCCGGGGCUCAACCUCGGAAUUGCAUUUGAAACUGGCAGACUAGAGUACUGUAGAGGGGGGUAGAAUUUCAGGUGUAGCGGUGAAAUGCGUAGAGAUCUGAAGGAAUACCGGUGGCGAAGGCGGCCCCCUGGACAGAUACUGACACUCAGAUGCGAAAGCGUGGGGAGCAAACAGGAUUAGAUACCCUGGUAGUCCACGCCGC